UGUCAAGUCUCGCUUGAUUUCGCCGCCUUGGAUGGUCCGCAAGAUCAACACGAACGUUUUUGGGAUGAGUAGCUCGAGAUUCUUCUUGGAUUGUUAUCACGACAGCUUGAGAUUCCAAGGCGAGGAUUGUGUUUUUCCAAGUACGAUGAGUUCUUGAGGCAACCAUUGUUCCAAAUGGACCAAUCAAGUGAAGAAGUUGCAGUCAAAGUAAAAGUGGUCACCACGACUCCUCCGGCUAAGAGCAGCAAAGGAGACAAAGAGGGUUCGUAGUUAAACCCCCAAAUUUGAUGAUUCUGCUCCUUUGAGCCAAGUCUAGUUUAAACCAAGGUACUUAUAUGGCUUCUGAAUCCUAAGUAGAUUGUAGACUAGACCAGUGUAGAACUUUUGAGAGUGUGAGAGUUGUAAGGGUAGGCUUGCAGAGACAGAGACCUGAUUAUGUGAUAUCUAAGCUUUAUCCAGUUGAAAGCUUCAUUUUUUACUUUGAGAAUCUUAUGAUAAGCUAAGAGUCUAGUAGAGUUAAGUGAAGACUCUAGUCCAUUUAGAGGCUUUGCCAUUAGUGUUAUUGACUAAGUAUAAAUGGAAGUGUGUGAAUCAUUGUGAAAGGGCAUCCUGCGUGAUCAUCAUUGUGAGUUUGUCGGAGUUUAUGGUUUGUGAUUUGUAUUGUGGAUUGAGAAGAGAUAAGAGAGAAGAGUUCAUAGCUUCAAGUCUUAUGAUCUUAUUUGCUAACCAAGACUGAUAUACUCUUAUGUUGCUGAGUCCAGUACCAAGCAACCCACAUUGAUCCUGACUUAAAGAAAAGAAGCCAUACCAAAUUAAAAAGGCAAGAUUUUUUCCAUGUGUAGAGGUCCCUUAUGUUUCCGUAUGUAUCGUAAGUGGAGCACCAGAAGUUAGAAAUAUAUACCAGCCACAACAGUGUUGUGUAUGAGAAGAAGCCUGUCUGCAAAAGAGAGAGAUUUGGCAGACCAAACAGGAACCACAAGAUAUAUGAUAAUCCAGCUGCAAAGAACCACAAGAUUGGUGUAGCAGAACUUGUAAGACACUCUGAACUGAGUCAAUAGAGCCAUCUAUAAAUAUAACAAGAUCAUCAGCAAAACACAACAGUGUGGUAGCCAUUAACAAUCUCUGCAACAAGUACAGUGUUUUCAAGGACAAGUCGAUCUUUUCACAAAGGCAAGUACUCUUGUUUGGGAGAAAGAGAGAGAGAGAAGGAUAGGUUUUAGCCUAGAGACAACUUUAUAGAUAGUAUUGCAGCUAC